rnacentral:rRNA from 1 species
GACAGAGGAUGGCAAGCGUUAUCCGGAAUGAUUGGGCGUAAAGGCGUCUGUAGGUGGCUUUUAAGUCCGCCGAUCAAAUCCCAGGGCUACAACCCUGGAGCAGGCCGGUGGGAAACUACCAAGCUGGAGUUAACGGUAGGGGCAGAGGGAAUUUCCGGUGGAGGACGGUGGAAAAUGCGUAGAGAUCGGAAAGAACACCAACGGC